rnacentral:rRNA from 1 species
UACGUAGGUGGCAAGCGUUGUCCGGAUUUACUGGGCGUAAAGGAUGCGUAGGCGGACAUUUAAGUCAGAUGUGAAAUACCCGAGCUUAACUUGGGUGCUGCAUUUGAAACUGGGUGUCUAGAGUGCAGGAGAGGUAAGUGGAAUUCCUAGUGUAGCGGUGAAAUGCGUAGAGAUUAGGAAGAACACCAGUGGCGAAGGCGACUUACUGGACUGUAGCUGACGCUGAGGCAUGAAAGCGUGGGGAGCAAACAGG